UCCAUGGUGGUCUAGUGGCUGAGAUUCAGUACUCUCACUGCUAUAGCUGGGGUUUGAUUCCCAGCCAGGGAA
rnacentral:tRNA from 1 species